AGGAGCAAAGUACCGUGGGGACUGUAGUAGUCCUUCUCUUCUGAACUAGGUAUGUCCACUACAUGAUGUUAUGAUGUGGAAUACCAAUAACCGAAAAUCACAAAACCAUGACAGUUCCUCUUGGCAGAACAGCUUGGAGCAAGGACAAUGUUAUGAUCUGUGAGGAAACCAACUGGUAUGUCUGUCCUCCAUAAGCUGGCCUUCCUGACUGCCUGUGCUCUGUGAAAGAUUUUAAAGAGAAUGAGUACAAAUCAGGAAGAAUCCUAACAAAAUGAAAAACCCUGAAUGAUUAAAAACUGGACUGCCAACUUUGGUUCUGCUUAGCCAGAGCACUCUAGGCUUACUGUGAAGUGGAGCAUGGCUGAAAUGUGCAUUAAGAACUUGACCAAGACAAAGUCAUAAUGUCAUCUGGCUUUGAAGGUGGACAGAGGAGCAGACUGCAGCAUAGUUUGUCAUCUGCUUGUAUUUCAUUUGUGUUGCCUUCGCCCCCGGGCAGGAAAAUGUGAAGGUGUGUAUGGGGACAAGAAGAUUACUUAGAGAGCUUGCUUUAGCAGUAUGAUUACCAGUCCUUGUGAUUAUCUGGAUCAAAGCUAAUCUAAUUAUAUUUUAUCCAUUGGCACUAUUGCCUCCUAAUUGUGAUGGCAUCCAGUUGACCUAAUGAAGCAGUCUCUUCUAAUCAGUUAGGGCUGCCCUGCAUGUCAUGUGAGAUUAUAGGCCAGUUUUAGAAGAAACAGCAACACUGUAAAGUGUGUGUGUGCUUGAGAGAGGUUUCGUAGCAGCCUUCUUCUGAAUGUUUCACCAUUGAAUGUUCCUUUAUCUGUCCCUUAGGAGGCAGAUGGCUGCUCUGGCAAGUUGGCUGAGGAAACAUCCUUUAUGGCUGCGUUCUGCAAGGGGCCUAGGUCUCAGUUCCUGGUCAGUAACAUCAGUAGGCCCAGGUGCUGCAGCUUUGUUCACAGAUCUGGAGCCCUGUCACAGGAGUGUAACAGGCACUGUAAAUAGGAGUGAGUAGCUACAAACCCUCUUUUUUCCCCUAAGGAAAGACAGCUGCUUUUCCUUAAUCCUGUGGGAGAUAAACUGAAGCUCCAUGUUGUCAGCUGAAUUAGUACCUUUAUCUUAAAGUUGUCUACAAUAGUGAAUAACAGAAAUAAAGGAAAAAGGAGCAACUGUAAUAGGUGGGAGUAGGUAAUGCUUCUGGCUCUGUACCUAGACCGGGUGUUUGCCUUCAGCUUCUUUAACACUUGAGUGUGUUUCAGCUGGUGAGUACGAGGAGAGAGUGGGUAGAUUACUCCCAUUACUUAGAACAAAAUAUAAAGUUUGGUACCCUUUUUCCUCUUGGUAAUUUUCUUCUCAUAGGGGAGGUGAAAUGGCUCCUGGGCAGAUGCCUACCAGGCAGUUUCAGUGAGUACCUGGGCGCUGCUGAGUGCUGUGCACAGGCAGCUGGCCUUGGAGGUGGAAGGCCUCUGAGUUCAGAGAAGUCAGCUACCCUGGAAAUAGAUUUCUGCGCUCAGGGUUUGAAAGAACACUAUUUUUGGUGCAGGUCCUCUUGAAUCUUAUUUUGUUCUUUCGUCCCUGGGACCUUCUGAGUAGGAGCAUUACAGUUAUUUGUGAUUGGAUCUGCUUGUUUUGGCUUUUUGUUGGUGCUGCAGAACAGAGGAUACUUGCAUAGCAUAGGCUAGAUCAGUUUUUGCCUAUUGCCAACUCUGAGCUUGAAUUUGUAUAGUAGGUGCUGAUGCUAUAAACAGAAGCAUCCCUGUCUCUUGCAAUGAAAACUCCUUGUCAGCCAUGCAAUACAGAGAUUUUUUAAGUAUUAUGUUCGGGGUAUGUUGGUGUGUUGCUGGGAGGGAUGGCAGAUUCUUCCUGUGUGAUCCAAUUUGCAGUGGCUUUGGUAUGACAAACAAAGUACUGGCAGUUUCGCAAGUGAAAAAGGCCAAACUGAGGAUGUCCAAGCAGUUGUCUGGCAUGGAUUCCCAGUGUGACAUUUUUGUCUGCGUGUUUAUCUGACAUGCUGGCAGUGGGUUUGAUGCUUUUGUUUUGCUGCUUCUUUCUGAUGUGUAUUUUCAGUACUGGGUUCAAAGGCAAGAAACCAAAAAGAAGUACCUAAAGAAGGUAAGGAACCAGGGCAAAAAAAAUGCAAGGGUGCCUGCUGUGCUCUGUGCAGUGACCCUACACUGGCCACUAAUUUCAGUAAAUACAGAAGAGGCAAAUAGGUACAAAAGGAGAUUCAGGCUCUUUCUUGCUCAGUCCUCCAGCCUGUUAAUAUUGAAAUUUCUAUCUCCUAAGGAUUAUUUAUAGCAUUACAGUGUUCUGUGAUACUUCAUCCCUUUUGGAUUCAAGAUAAUGGUAAUUUUCCAGGCAUGUAACAUAAAACCCUGAGAUGUUCAUCAUGAUCUGCUAUUUGAAGAGACAGAGCAGAGUCAUCUCAGAGGACAUGGCUGUCACAAAACACCGCAGUGUUUCAUUCUGAGCUUUCAGCAGCCAAGCUCCCUGAGAGAGACCACCUUUUCUUGCCUUCUUGCCUGCCUAGUGUCUUCUGGAGAACUGAUGGUGAUAUUCAGUGUCAUGCUCCUUUCUCAUCAGUGUGUUGUUUUACCCAGGCUGAGCAAGCUCGCUCGCUCAUAGCAAGCCCUGCAGUGGAAACAAAGGUUAGUGAUACCAUUCUGGCUCAUUUGGCUGCUGCCUUGGAAGAAGAGGAAAGCUGAGAGAUAACAGGAAGAAAACAGAAAUAGAUUGGAUCAGACUGUUGUGUGUUCCACCUUGUAUCUAAUGCUCAGUGAAACCAAUCUAACAGCUCCACUUGAGCUUUAUGCGUAUCUGAUCAGUUCAGUGGAGGGCUGGAUGCAUUUCUUUGGCUUGUGGUAAGUGCUCAGCUCAUGUCACAAAGGUGGAGAGCUGCCUGCUGUUGUCCUAGCUGGCUUUGAGGCAGUGGUUUGCAGGCAAGCAAUGUGGCAGAGACUCGUACUGAGGCUGGCAGGUGGGGUGGCCUUUCCUCAUGGUAUCAUACUUGCUUGAUUCAUGGACAGGAGUUGAAGAAAGCUGGGGUGUAGGCUAAUACACACCUCUUGAAACUACCUGGCCCUUCUGUAGCUGACUAAAAUGUGCGUUGCACUCAGGACUGUAGUUACAGGCACAUUUACGUGAAGCCAGGCACCUGACACCAUAGGAACUGGAGUCAGUGGUGCUUCACUGCCUGCAUCCAAGACUGGUGUUACGAUGCAUCUGUACCAAGUAACUCUGUGUGAAGGGUCUGUUGGCUCCAGUUUGGCUGAGCUCCUUACAAAAGAAACACCUGAUGGCUUUGUGAUAUUAGUCCUUACGGUAGGGGGAUCAGCCAGCCUCCCAAGACCCCUUUCCACUCCCUUUUCUUGCAGGUCCCUGGCAGGAAGAACGGGGUUUUGGUUCAGCUUGUUGCUUCCAGAGAAGACACGUGCCCUGUGCGUUUCCACACUGAGUGGCCUCCUUCAACAUCGUACAAGUCUUGUUCUUGAAUAGAGGGCUGAAGCGAGGUGAAUGAAAAGUGUAUCCUGCUGCUGCCUAACCAUCAGUUUCAUCUCCAAGAAGAGGAGAGAAGGAACAAAAGACUCAAUCUUUGAGAGCUGUAGUAGGGGCAGACGUGCAUCUCCAGCUGGGUGCAGCGUGCCCUCCCACAAAUGGCAGCAUUCAGCUCUGUUCAGCUACAGAUGAGCACUGUAACUUUCCAUGGAAACUGCUGCAUUGAUUCUCUGCCUUUGGCUGCAGGUAAUUACUUUGCCUCUUGCAGUUAUGUGGGGUAACUAGAAGUAGAUUGUACAAAGAGUAGUAAGACCCAUCAGUGCAUCCUCUCCUUUUGUAGUCUCUUCCUUUAAGAGUGAUUAUUUCAUUUUUUUUUAGCCCAACCUCUAUCUGUGCUUUCUGCCCAGCUGAUAUCUUAGCAGUGUGGCAAAAAAAGGGAAAAUGAAUGCCGUGUUCAUUUUUACAGCAUGCUAUCCCAUACAAUCCCUUACUGGAACUGCAGUGGGAAAGCCGAAUGACUUCAAAAUUCACAUUUUCUUCCAGCCUGAUACAGUUAUGGACUGUUAAUACAGCAGGUUGAAUUCUGAAAUAGAUGCAGCCCAGUAACAGGCAUACAGAUUCUGGCUGGCUUAGCAUGGAUUAAGGCAGUUUUCUUAUGCUCUCUCUUUAAUCAUUUGGUUUUUUUCUAUGUGAAGUGGUACACUGUUGGAACUUGAAAAGAGACAAGGUAGCAGACACCUUCUGUAAUGAAGGUUUAUAAAAUUGCCACUGAUCCAUUACUUCAGAAGUACUAUCAUGCUGCUGUGCUUAAUGAAAGAUCAGUCAAGUAAAUUGUUCCUGGGAUUCAACUUAAUUACAUGCAAGAGAUGGAAACUCUGUUAUCAAGGUCUAAUAAAAUAUCAAAUGGCUUUAAUGAAGUCAGUAAGGUGGCAGCUUUAAAGUGAAAUGUGCUCGAUUAAUAAUGGAAAUGACAGUAGAUUUGACUGAGGAGUGUUAUAAAUUACAUGUCAAUUCUCCACUGCAAGGUGAGAGUCACCAUUGUUAAGCUGUAUUGGUGAGAAACUUUGGGUUCGUUGUCAGUGCUCAUCCUCUAAGGCUCAGACUAACAGGCCAACAGCUGGAGGAGAUUUCCUAUUGAAGGAUUCUUUUAGCCUGAAACUUGGCAUAUGACAAGUAGGAUGGUUUUUCAUAAUGCUAGCAAAGGAAGCCAUUUAUCCAGCUAUGUAAUUGAAAUCAGGAGAUGCCUCGGGAUGACAUGGUUGUGACUGUUACUAAGCACUAAAACAUUAAGUAAAUAAAGAUGCUUAAAGUGU